UUAUAAGGAAGGCGUCGGGUCCUCCAUUUCAGCCUUUUUCUCUAGAAGGAAGCAGCAGUGGCAUUUCUGGUCUUGUAAACACUGGACUCGGUGAGACUU
ensembl:misc_RNA predicted gene, 27443